rnacentral:rRNA from 1 species
GCAAGUCGAGCGGUAACAUUUCUAGCUUGCUAGAAGAUGACGAGCGGCGGACGGGUGAGUAAUGCUUGGGAAUAUGCCUUAGGGUGGGGGACAACAGUUGGAAACGACUGCUAAUACCGCAUGACGUCUACGGACCAAAGGAGGCUUCGGCUCUCGCCCUUAGAUUAGCCCAAGUGAGAUUAGCUAGUUGGUGAGGUAAUGGCUCACCAAGGCGACGAUCUCUAGCUGGUGUGAGAGGAUGAUC